rnacentral:lncRNA from 1 species
AUAUAAUUAUACUAUAUUUAAUAAAGAAAUGUUGAAAAAGGAAGAGUGAAAGUGGAUUCUCACUCCCACCUCCCCCUAUGGGGGUGGGAAUCUCACUCCACACUCCAAAAAUGAGUAGGAUUUACGGAGUGAAAUUCCCACUCCUCUCCUUUAAUAAGCAAGUAAAUACUGAAGUGAGAGGAAUCCACUCUCUCCAACAAAUAAACACAACAUAAUUAUAAAAGAUUCUAUUUUUAUUUUUCCAAACCACUAUUAAAUGUUCAAAGAUUUCACAUUUAUUCAGAUGAUGUAUCAAUGCAUCGCAUGCAUGGUAGUCGUAACACAUUGGUGAAGAUAAACAUCUGAUAACUUCCAGUUCCUAGAUCUCUAUUCAAGUCAGAAAUAAACUUUCAGUCUGAAAAAGGUUUUGCCUUUUAAAGGAUGAUCAUUUAGGCUUUUGUUUAAGAUGGUAGUUGAGAGUACUGCUAGUGCCCCACUGUCCCUUUCAUUGACAAUAUCUUUAAAUGUAUUAAAAUUAAUAGAUAAGCUUCUUUUGACAGAAUCCAAUCUUCAUGAUCAAAAGUAAUUCUCUUAAGCUACCUAUGCUGUAUUAUUUAUUAGAAAGUGGUGGCCAUAAAAAUUGUCACCCACGAUGACCUAGAAAAUGAAAAGAAGACGGAUUUUUAUCCAUGGCCCGCCUUGCUACCAUUACUAAUUUGUUUGAACCACUGUUAAUUAAUUAGCUGAACAAUCUGCCACAAGUAUCAUUAGCAUGCGGUACAUGUUCUUUUGCCUUUACGGUUCCGUUCAAAUAUUCAACUAUAAAUUAUCUAGGACAUCAUUGUUGUAUAUUUAAUUAAGCGAAUUACGAAAAUAAUUCUUUAUUUCCUUGUCUUGAUGAUGAAAGAUGUACUAAGUUGUCAGAAUAUACACGGUCGAGGAGAUCAUUUCACAUCAGCUGGGACCAAUUUUUAAACUAAUAAGGUAAGUUUAAAUCAACUAUAAACUCUUGAGCUAUCUUUUAAGGAUGACUUAGUUCGAUGGUCUUUAAGUGUAAAUAUUAGAGUUAGGCAUAUGCACGAGAAGGAACUAAUUUUUUACUAUGAGGUAGGCUCCUCAGAAGUUAUAUUCUUGAAAGCAUAAGUCAAGAUUUGAUUUUGAUACACAAAAUUACGAAAGGCCCAAAGCCCACGAGAAAUAUAGCCCUAAUAAAGAAAUGUCUAAAUCCAUUAUUUAUAAAGAAUGAUUUAGAAUUAAUUCCAAGUAAAAUGCCCAAAAGGGCGAGUCUUCGACAAAGAACUAAAAAUGUAAUAAUAUAAAUAAUGAUUUAGGUUCACUCUUUAUAAAGAAUAAUCUAAGGACUUAGAAAAUAUUUUUAAGUAAAACGUUUAAAGGACAAGUCUUUACUAAAAGUGUGAUUCUAAGAAGAAUGUCUUAUGUCCAUUCUUUAUAAAAAUUGAACUAGGCCCAUUCGUUACAAAAAAUAACUUAAACUUAUUCUUUACAAUGAAUGACCAGAGUACCUACAAAAUAUUUUUAAAUAAAAGCCUAAGUACAAAUAUGGACAAAAUGUCCAAGGAUGUGAUUCUACAAAGGUGACUUAGUCAAUUCUCUAUAAUAACGACAUAGGUACUUAGAAAGUACUUCUAAGUAAAAUGUCUAAAGGGUGGAUAUCGACAAAACAUCCAAAUGUGUGAUUCUACAAAAAUGACCCAGGUUCAUUCUCUACAAGAAUGACCUAGGUACUCAGAAAGUAUUUUAAAGUAAAAUGCCCAAAGGGUUAGUCUUUGACAAAGCUCCAAAAUCGUGAUAAUACAAAGAAAGAUCUAAUGGUGUUUUUACUUAAGGGUUUAGGGAAUGGGAAUGAAGGAACGAGAAUGGAAUCUAUGUUUACUUGGCAAAAUGUAAUUUGGGAAUUAGAAUAAAAUGUGUGGGUCUCACACAAUUUGGGAAUAAGAAAUGUGAAUCUCAUUCCCAUAGGAGGGUUAGGAAUGGAAAUUAAACUCAUAUUUACUUUUAUAUCUCUUUAAGUUUUUCAUAUUUUUUGAAUUACUCUCAUUCAAAUCACAAUUAAU